rnacentral:rRNA from 1 species
UACGUAGGGUGCAAGCGUUAAUCGGAAUUACUGGGCGUAAAGCGUGCGCAGGCGGUUUUGUAAGUCUGAUGUGAAAUCCCCGGGCUCAACCUGGGAAUUGCAUUGGAGACUGCAAGGCUAGAAUCUGGCAGAGGGGGGUAGAAUUCCACGUGUAGCAGUGAAAUGCGUAGAUAUGUGGAGGAACACCGAUGGCGAAGGCAGCCCC